rnacentral:tRNA from 1 species
UCAGGAGAUCCGAGUAGAGGCGUAGCGAACUGCGCACGGAGAAGCCUUGAGGGAACGCCGUAGGACCCGGGUUCGAUUCCCGGCAGCUCCACUGAAAGGGCCGCAGAAAUGCGGCCCUUUUCUUUGCUCGACCCGGCCCCCGCUGGUCUGACUGCGUCGCGAAGCGAAAUCCAGCGACGCAAAUAGUUUCAGUGCCGCUAGGCAGUCAGCUGCACGGACGGGGUUGCUUGUUCGACCCGGAUGAUGGCGUCCCCAGGGAAAUGCUCGCGAUGAGUCUCGGCUGCGUCGGCGGGAUCUCCGGCGAUUACGACGCGUAAAGUGUGGAUUUCGCAGGUGUGGCUGAUAACGGUGUAGUGAUCGUGUACCGGAUUGGCGUCUGUCAUCGGUUGUUUCCUUUCUAAGUGUGAUGCAGUGACGACUACGUCAUAAAGUUACCGACGGUCCGAGCCUGGACGCGUCGGCUGAUCGACCCAUGAUGUGGAGGAGAGACGU